UGGGGAAUAUUGCACAAUGGGCGAAAGCCUGAUGCAGCGACGCCGCGUGAGGGAUGACGGCCUUCGGGUUGUAAACCUCUUUCAGUAGGGACGAAGCGCAAGUGACGGUACCUGCAGAAGAAGCACCGGCUAACUACGUGCCAGCAGCCGCGGUAAUACGUAGGGUGCGAGCGUUGUCCGUAAUUACUGGGCGUAAAGAGCUCGUAGGCGGUUUGUCACGUCGUCUGUGAAAUCCUAGGGCUUAACACUGGACGUGCAGGCGAUACGGGCUGACUUGAGUACUACAGGGGAGGCUGGAAUUUCUGGUGUAGCGGUGGAAUGCACAGAUAUCAGGAAGAACACCGAUGGCGAAGGCAGGUCUCUGGGUAGUAACUGACGCUGAGGAGCGAAAGCAUGGGUAGCGAACAGG
rnacentral:rRNA from 1 species